rnacentral:tRNA from 1 species
GGCUCCAUAGCGUAGCGGUUAGCAUGUCUGCUUUACACGCAGAAGGUCCUGGGUUCGUGCCCCAGGUGGAGCCA